UUCUUUCCCGCUCUGGCAGUAGUAUUUCAUGGGUUGAGCUGGAAGGACAUGUUUUUUCAAAUGUAAUUUAAGAGCCGUGCUUCUUUGAGAGCUUAACAUCUUCACGGAGAAUCCUGUGUGUAAGAUCAGUGUGUGAGGGUAAAGCAGCCAUUCCAUAAAUGGUUGUCUUCAUAUCUGGAAUUCAACAUUGAAUAUUGAAUAUUUAAUAUGUAGCACUAUAAUAAAGUAUAAAACAACCUUAUAAAAGGUUUACAUGUCUUAAAUCUUCCUGAACAUUAACGAACCCGCACUCGUGGAACAAUAUAAUUAGGUAUAAUUAUUAUAUAGAUACCACCAGUGUUACAUUUAUGGC